AAAAAUUGACAUGCUUUACUACUUUUAGCAUAUCCUAUGAACACACAGUCCACCGUUUUAGGUCUUAUCUAAACCCUUUUAGGUAUAGGAACUUGAACCUUCGCUAGACACCCCCACACUUUGAAAUAUUUCAAGUUGGGUUUCCUUCCUUUCCAUUUUUCGUAAGGAAUUGAUUUUGUCUUACUAUGGGAAACUCUAUUGAGUAUACGAUUGGCCGUAGGAUAGCCUCCCC
rnacentral:lncRNA from 1 species